rnacentral:tRNA from 1 species
GGUGCUGUGGAUUAGGUGGUUAAAGUGCCUGUCUCGUAAACAGGAGAUCCUGGGUUCAAAUCCCAGCGGUUCCU